CAGUUGAAAGAGAAGAAACCGGGUAGUUAAGGUUCUUUUGCAUCCAGGCAAACAACAACAACGAUCAAGGCAUAGAGAGUAGAGGCAAGCUUAAGUAAGGGUAAGUCUAUAAGCGUAUACUAGAUUUAUAGAUAUUGGCUUUACCACCUUAUUGAGAGCAGAGUUUACCACCUUAUUGAGAGCACAGAGUAAAGAAACUGGAUCAGUAGUUGGAGCAAGGGUCAGAAGCAAGAGGGGAAGCUGUAUCUGGUAAAUCAUCUAGCACU
rnacentral:lncRNA from 1 species